GCAUUCUUAGCUCAGUUGGAUAGAGCAACAACCUUCUAAGUUGAAGGUCACAGGUUCAAAUCCUGUAGAAUGCG
rnacentral:ncRNA from 14 species